rnacentral:lncRNA from 1 species
AGGGCCUCAAGCUGCAUGCGGCUGUGUCUGGUGAACCCUGGCUAGGCCCAUCCUUUGUGCUUAGGAUUCAGAGUCCACACAGCCUGGGCAUACCGCACUUGGCCUCACUGGUAUGGCAAGAGACUAGUGCUGUGCAUUCAGGCCUGUUGCUAAGGUCACAGGGCUUCGGCUACCUUUCCUUAGGCUCCAUUGGUGUCCCCUGGCCUUUGUCAGAGUUGGUUGCCUGAACAUCUCUGAAGCAGAUCAAAAGAUAAGUAGUGCACAGCUGAGCCCACUUCCCCUUUGGUUGUACCCUGCUUCUGUUUAAAGCAGGGGCCUUUGGGGUGGAACCUGGCUGAGUUAGAACAGGGCAGUUUCCAAGGCCAGUGCUGUGGAGAGUUGGUGUUUCAUCCUGGGGUGAGGUGAAGUACUGACCUGCUAGCACCCAUCCCAGCCACCCUCUGGUCCUUCCUGCUCAGCCGUGUAGAGACCAGCACAGCAUCUGUAAGCGCAUGCGUUAGAAAGGUGUGGGGUGUGCUGCCCUGCCUGGGUUGAAGACGGCUGUGACUCUGCAUGAUUUUUUCAAAUUACCCAGGUGUGAGGCUGCAGUUCAACAGAUAGUUACAGAUGGGUCACCUCACACAGCAGCCUGUCGGCUUAGUGAACGAAGCACUUCUGAGGACACGGAAGCGCUUCCCAAACUCAAAGCCACUGCUACUUCUCCGAGUGGCCCUGAGGUCACCUGUAAAGGAUGUUUGAUGUGGUGAGCUCAACAAAGGCUUUGAGAGCUGGGAGGGCCUUGGGGACAUCAUGUUAGCUGUCACCUUCUCACCUCAGAGCUCCUUGCUGUUCUUGCAACACAAGUUUCCUAAAAGAGGUUAGUUAGCCCCAAACCGCCCCCGAGAGGAUGAGAACAGGAAGCCCACUCCUCCCUUACAUUUAACUUAGGCACAGCCCAGUCCUUAGCCAUCAGUGGACACCUGAAGUGAGGCAGGGGAUCGGCCAUGGGAUGGAGCUGACAGUCAGUGAGUCACAGCACUGUUGACUCAUCUGUUGUCUGUCUACUCAUCUUCAUCAGUGGCCAUCAUGUCCACCUCAGGGAACCUCUUAGAGAGACGGCCCAGAGCACUGUGUGAUACUGGAGUAUGUCUGCAGCAGGCCUGUUUUUGUGCAGUCUCAGAUAGGAUCCACCUGGUUCGCAGUGAGGCCUCCAGCAAUGUGAUUCAACAAAUACUAUGGUUUCAUCUUCAGAUUUUCCUAAUUCUUUAAUUUUUCCUCUGGAUAGAACAUGAUGUUAAAGCCAGUUUAGGAAAUACAUAAAAAUAAAGUCAAAUCAGCAAGCCAAACCUCCUCCUCAAAGCCAAGGCUAACAUUCUGGUCCUUUUUCUUCUUUCCUUUUUCCCAUAGUCCUUCACUCCUAUAGAACACGGGGUGGGAGAGAAGUGGGGGGCCAGACCCCACCUUCCACAGCAUGGUGGAGUGCAGUAACAGGGCAGGAGAACAGAUGUGGCCCAUCUCUUCCCCGAUGACUAACAUCAAACUUCAUUGCUGUGAGCACUCUUUCGGAGCCUGUAGCUAUACCAUUCUCAGAAGAGCUUACACCAGGUUCUCAUCCUUCAGAGAACACUUAUCCACAUAACUCUUGGCUGUCACCCUUCUGCGUAGAUCUGCAGUCAGGCUUUGAGCCUCUCGGCAUAGAAAAAGAAAGACUUGGAAGCAACUUCCUGGAUUCUUCCUCACUAAGUAAACAGAGUGUCGUGCGCCUCUACCUCUCUUCGCACUCUCCAGCCCUUACUCUUGAACCCCUGAGCUUUGGUACCCCAACCAUGGAACCAGGAGUGGAACACCUGGUACAGAGGAUUUAUGGAGUUAGAUAGAGAAAUGAAAGACAUGGUGAAAACUAGAAUGGCCCAGGAGAAAGGCUUAGCGUCCAGAGAAGGAAAAGGUGAUGGGGGGCGGGGGGGGGGGUAGAAUAAUGCAAAUUGACCUUUAACUGUGGCUAAGCUCAGUCCAAAGCCAGAAAGCCAAGAGGGAGACUCACACCCUCAGUGCAUUGUACAACUGCUUGGCUUCUGCUCAGACAAGACAGAACUCUGGCUCACACAGACGAUGAAAGGCUGUAGUGUGGCUGGGCUGCACUUGUAACGCUGCAGCUGGUUCCAGGCGGCCAGUCCACUAGUGAGUGAGAGGCAAUAGGCAGCAUGUUAAGGGUUGUUAUCCAGCAUUGUCUCUGUGCCUAAAGGAAUUGGCACCUGUGAAAUACACAGACAUCAGCACGUGGUUAUGCCUACUGUCUGACCAGAAGAGAGUGAGAAUGGCCGGGGGGGGGGGGGGGGGGGGAUUUACUGUUUGGAGGUCUUGUAAAGACAAAGAAGCUAGCUGAUUCUGGAAGGAAAAAGUUCCUGUGAUCUGUUGAAUGGGCGCAGGGGCAGACCCAUUUGUCUGAUGCUCCUUAGUUGAUAGCCACUGGGCUCACUUUCUGCAAACACAGCAGGCUCGGAUGGCUCAGUGGAGGAGUACAAGGUGCCUUUGGGGGUGUGUUCCUGAAUUGUCAACAGCUUCCACAUAGUGUUUGUGUCCUUGGCUUUUGGCAUGAGGCAAUCAGAUGAGGUCAUCUGCUUGAGUCCAUUUCCUGACCACUGAUCAUUUUGAGACACAGAACAACUUCUAUUCUUAGAGAACUUCAAGCCUAAUGCACCCUGCCUGGUCUUGGGCCCAUCCCCUUCCUCCCCACCCACUCACCCCAGAAACAUCUCUCUUUCGUUGUAAAAAAAAUUACACACUCAUAAACUGU